CCAAGGAUUGCAGUUGUUGAGACAUACUGAAAAUUGUUGAUCUAAAUUCAAGUUAAACUGCACCUGGUGUCUAAUCUGGAAGCUCAUCUGGCCCAGCCAGGUGCGGGAAUGGCUCUGGCAGCGGAGGAAGCCACAAGUGGUGGAGCACUCAGGACAGGCCCCGAGGGACAAGCAGGAAUCCAGAAUAAACUGGGAGGUGCCGGGUAGGGUGAAGGUGGGAGCAGAGCAGGGGAGGGAGCUGGCACAGAGAACACUAAGCCGGCCCCUGCCAGGGCCCCUUUCACAGGAACUAGUCAGACUGGAUUGAGCCAGCCAGAAUGCAGGACCGAUCAGAGGUCCCGUGGGAGCCAGAGCCACGGAAGGCGAGGGCACAGUCACAGACCGGGUGGAUCCUGGCCGACGCGGCUCCCGGGUCCUCUCCAGCCACGUUCCCAGCGUGGUCUUCCCUGCCCAGCUCUGAGUGCGACUGGAAAAACCUGAGGUAAGGGAAAGAACAAGAACAGAAGAGAGAUGAUACCAUGACCACAUGGAAAAAUGAAAAUGUUUGACAUCUUUAUUGGCGAGCUGUUACAGAAGUAGGUCCACUUUCCAAAAUUGUAGAGCUAAGAAUUAUGCUUUCCAAGAUGUGCAAAGUUUAUCUCCAACCAGCUGUUAGCGAUAAUAAUAAGUAAUAACAACCCAGUGGUGAUGGGGCAGGGUGGGGAGUUGGGUGUAGUCGAAACAAUGACAGAAUGUUGACAAUUGUUGAGGCUCGGUCAUGAGGACAUGGGAUGGUUAAUAUUACUCUGUCACUCUCUACACAUUGAAAACAUUCAAAAUGAAAGUCUUUAAAAAUGAGUAUCCUUAGGGGCACCUGAGUGGCUCAGUUGGUUAAGCUUCUGACUCUUGAUUUUGGCUAAGGUCGUGAUUUCAGGGUCAUGGAAUCAAGCCCCAAGUUGGGCUCCAUGCUCAGUGCGAAGUAUGCUUGAGAUUCUCUUUCUCUCCUUCUGCCUCUCCUCCUGCUCCGUCUCCCCCCUCCCCCCCCAAAAAAACUAUCCUUAGACCUCAUACAUUUGUAUAAAAAACGUGCUGGAAAGACACACCCACAGAAUGGAAAGAGUGGAUCUUAUUUUUAAUAUCACACUUAAAAAUUUUUUGGAAAGGUGAUGUGUUCAAAUAUGAAAAAAAAAAAAAAAUCUAUAGGUGUGUCUCUACCCCUGUCUCCACCUAAUCAGUUCUAGCUGGUCGGACCCCUGCCGAAUUUCUACGCAAAUAUGCGACUGUAUUUUCUCAUUUUUCACUUGGCUCAGCAGUUGAGCACCGGCCUUCGGCCCAGGGCCUGAGGUAGCACAGCAGAUGAUCAUAGUGCACUUUGCCUUAUACUUAACACAUUU
rnacentral:lncRNA from 12 species